AAAAAAUGCUCAUUGCAAGCUGUUUGAAAGCUAAUAGUCUCAAGAAUGACCAAUGAGGUGAUUUAUUAAAAAGGCUUCAGAAUUUCAUCAAAUUCAAAUAAUCUUGCCGAAUUGUUGGGAAAUCCUUCCAGUUGCUCAGUAACCUCAAGGCAGGCCUAUAAUUGUCCAUGUAUGUCCAUCUUACCAAAAAGGACCACAUUUUUGUUCCUGCCCUUCUUACUGUAAGGCUUCAGAAAUGGAUCCUCCAUGGAGAAGCUUAUGCUGCAACUCCAUCUGAACACUACAAAAGAAAACAAACUGCUUUGUCAAGACAAUUGUUAUGCAUUUCUCCACGGCGGUGAAGAUGGACCUGAUAAAGCAACGUUUCCCAACCCGAAUCGUUGCUGGUGUAAAGAAGGGUUCCAACCUGAAACAUUGCCUAUCCAGACCCUCCAGAGAUGCUGCCGGAUCCACUGAGUUACUACAGCAUUUUGUGUUCUAUGCAAGAUUCCAGCAUGUGCAGUUCCUUGUGUUUCUUAAUAAAGUAUUGCUUGGUUUAUAUUA